rnacentral:lncRNA from 1 species
UUAAAAUCAAGAAAAUAAAAAAAGGAAUUUAAAAUUAAAUAAAGAAAGAAGGAAAGUGUGACACUCUCAUUUUGGAUGGCAGCCCCGAGUCUGAUAUACACCAUUCCAAUUCUCUCACUCAGAUCCAUAUUUUUUCCUCUCAUGUUCAUAAAUCAAAAUAAUAAAAAAGGGUGGAAAAAAGAACAACAAAUAAAUUAUCUUCUUCUUCUUGCAUCAUGUUGUAUGCAACACUACUCCCUCCAC